CUUCCAGUCUUGGUUAAAAUUAACUUUAUUACUCAUUUUCAUACGAUUUAUAAGAUUUUCUGUCAUAGGUAGUAGAUCAUCAAUUUCAGAAGCACCUUGAGCGACAUUAAAUUGUUUUUGAAUGGAUUUUGACAUUGAUGUACCAAAAGCAUAGCCGAACAAAUUAGGAUUGAAUUCUUUUAUUAUAUUUGGUAUUGUUAAAUAUUGUCUCCAUGAUUCAUGUCCUCCUAUAAAAAUAAA